UACAGAGGGUGCAAGCGUUAAUCGGAAUUACUGGGCGUAAAGCGUGCGUAGACGGUUAUUUAAGUCAGGUGUGAAAGCCCCGGGCUCAACCUGGGGAUUGCAUUUGAGACUGAAUAGCUAGGGUGCGGAAGAGGGAAGCGGAAUUUCCGGUGUAGCGGUGAAAUGCGUAGAUAUCGGAAGGAACACCAGUGGCGAAAGCGGCUUCCUGGUCCAGCACCGACGUUCAGGCACGAAAGCGUGGGGAGCAAACAGG
rnacentral:rRNA from 1 species